rnacentral:misc_RNA from 1 species
UCCGGCUUAACGCCGGCAGUCUCGCUAGAGUCCUCGGCUUGACCCGUUAGUAACUAACGAUAGGGGUUUCGCUCGUUAAGGGACUUAACCCGACACUUCACAGCACGAGCUGACGACAGCCAUGCAACACCUGUGGAAGUUUCACCCCGAAGGGCAGCUUGCUGAGUUAUCCACAGCAAGCAUCCAACCAUGUCAAACCCGGGUAAGGUUCUUCGCGUUGCUUCGAAUUGAGCCACAUGCUCCACCGCUUGUGUGAGCCCCCGUCAAUUCCUUUGAGUUUUAGCCUUGCGGCCGUACUCCCCAGGCGGCAUACUUAGCACUUUUGCUACGGCGCCGACGGCGUCAGAGCCUCCGGCACCUAGUAUGCAUCGUUUACGGCGUGGACUAC